UGAAUUUUUUCAAGAAAUAGAUACAUUUUUAAUACAUUUUAAAAUAGAUACAGUUACAAAGAUUUAUAAUAAGUGAUCAGAAUUUCCCCUAAAAACAGAUUGAUAAUAAAUCCUGGUAUUUCAUUAAUUUAAAAAAUUAUGAUUUUUCCCGGCCCUGUAAAUUUCUUCUAUCUUAGUUACGUGUGCAUCAUGCACAUGCGUACAAGUCAUUCUUAUUAGAUCAAGUAAAUCAUUAAAAAUAGCACUGUCCGUAUACAUUAGCAUCAUAUUAUCGCUAAACGAGAGUAAUUUCUUGAAAGAAAAAGAAGACAGCUAAUUAUCUUCAAACAUUAAAAUUAACUGAGUACUUGGAGGUAUUACACAUACACACUACGAUACAAAAGAUAAAAUAUCACAAUUCAACGAUAUACAUAUUAUCAGUAUUACAGAUCAAUAUAUUGAGCAAUAUUACAUGAAUAUGAUGUCUUCCAUCCUUAAGUUAUCAACAAUACACCGUAUUUAGAAAAUAGAUUGUUUCCUGCAAAAAUUUACAUAGUUUAUCAUGUCGUCAAUUAAGUUUACCGGUAAAUUUCAUGAGUGACGUAAGACGUAAGAGUAGAGAGAAGAAAAAAAAGAGGAAGUGUGGAAUUGGAAGGGCGACGUGUAACUAACAGUACGAAAAUAUAGGUCGAGACGACAUCGAAUAAAAGAUGCGGGCUACAUGUUCUUCAGGUAACGGCUGUGCCCCCCUCCUUUUAUAAAUUUCCCAAAAUCUGAAGCCAGUUUUGUAAUACAAAAAAUAAUCUCUUUAUUGUCGCUUGCAAUAACUAACAAACGAUGCUUUUCAAUUCUUUUGUAAAUAUAAAAUAAAGUGUUUUAUAUACUUGACAUUUGGUGUAACUUUUUAAAAAUUAAAAGCAUUAUACUUUAGUUAAAAACUCACUUUUCGUAAUUCUUACGAAAUAUAUUUCGAAGAAAUGAUUUCUUCAUGAGAGAGAUAUAUCGUUACAUUGUCGUUAUUGGCUAACAUAAAAUUUUAUUUAUUUAUUUUUAUUGACAAUUAAUUAUUUGCAAGUGUUUCAACAAGAAGCUAUAUAUAUCGUUACCUUGAAUAUUAACGAAGUACAGAGAUUUAUCGCUAUUUUUCUUGACGGUUGUUCGUACGAUUACAGUUCACGUGUGAAAUCGGUUCCAAACACUUUCAUAGUUUGUACAUUUAAUCACUACUUUAUCGAACACACUAUAUUAAAAGCUUACGCUGUCUAUGACAGACAAUUCAUAUUUUUCCCUUUUUUAGAAUUCGUGAAUCUAUCUACGUCAAUUAGAUUGUUGUACAAUUUAAAAAGUAGCUAUAGAUGAUCGAAAGAUACGGGGAACGCGCGACGCACCGUCGAAAUUGUAGGGAACACAGCGCGAACAAUACUGGUGACUUUCCUACUACACAUGAUGUAGCUUGAAGAUGUUGCGUGAACGCCGUACAAGUGUUAUCCCUACUUACAUCGCUGUACAACGGUUGAGUCACUGUACGAAAAACAUUUCUGAGAAAAUUUGAGAUUAAUUUGCAAUUAAAGAAUACACGUUGAUCAAAUGAUCCUGAAAUAUUUCAUAAUCUUUUCAAGUUGCUCUUUUUAAUUAAGAUAACACUGUAAUGAAUGAAAAUUCAGACUCACAUUUUCUGAUCGUGAUAGUGCUUGAAAAAUAUAAGGAUGUACUAUUAAUAUUAACCCUACUAGGCCCAGUCAAAUGACCGGUUUCAAAAUUUAAUUUAAAAUUGUAUAUUCAUUGUUAUUUCUUUUGUUCAUCUAACUUUAUGUAAAUUCGUACACUACCUGAUUAAUCAGUUUCUCAAUUUUUGUUAGUAUAAUAAUUUACAUGAAAUUGGAUGAACAAAAGAAAUAACAAUGAAUGUACAAUUUUUAAUUAAAUUCUAAAGUCGGUUAUUUGACCGGAUAAAGUUAGUGUUAAAUUAUGAAUAUGAUAAAAAUUCUCACAUUACAAUAGUUUAAUGAUUAAUUUUAAAAAUGAAUAAUUUUCUAUAUCUUCUCAUCAAAGAAUUUUUAAUAUAAAGAUUUAAAGAUGUUGAAAAUUUAUUAAAAUAUUUCUGAAGAAUAUUUAAAUAGAUGCCUUGGAAAGUGUUAACAGUGGAAAUCAUUAAACUUUCAUUGUAUACGUUAAUUUUGAACGAUUACUUAUAAAAAAUAUUAGUUUGUAAUAACUAUUUUCGAUUUUAAAAUAGCGCACUGUUUAUAUGACAUUACUUUUAAAAGAAUUAUUUCAGCUACUAUAAAUUUUCCAAAGUGCAAUUGAUUUUAUGUUUUAUUUUUGAUUGUCAAAGUUCCGAAAAUUUUGUUAAAUUAUCACACAUUACUAAAAUUCAUAGUCCAAAAUUAUACUAAUUUUUUCUGUACGAACGUAAGCAAUUGAAUUUACUUCUCAUUUAUGACAAUUUCUGGGAUUAUGGGAUGCUUUUAAAUAGAUUUUUCUUUAUACUUUAGUUUUACAUGUUGGCUCUUUUUGGGUCACAUGCAGUAUAUUUAUAUAAUAAAGAAUGUCACAUGUAUGUGUGUAAGAUAUCCUUCUCAAAAUGGGAGGAACAGUAAGUGGGACGAUAAAUUCGUGUAUAACAAUAUUCUAUUCACAACGAUGAUAUGAUAAAGUAGCAUCAAGAGGCAACAAUUUUCUUUUUCGUAAACGGUAUAACUUACAUUAUAUAUAUAUAUAUAUAUAUAUAAAAUAUAUAUAUAUAUAUAUAUAUAUUUUAUGAUAUAACAACACUGCGGAAAGCUUGAAAACACUCCAUUCAAUUAUGUUUAUUUUUCUUUCCUCAUCGUUUAUAGGCAUACUUAUAUUUAUAUAUGAAUAUAUGUAUAUAUGUAUGUAUGUACGUAUAUAUGUAAUAUAUUUAUAUGUAUACAUAUAUAUAUAUUACUCACUAACGUAAAUUAAUGUUAUGCUCUGCUACGUUAGAAAAUUUGAAUAAUAAUACUUUCCAUUGUCUGCACAUUAUUAUUACCUUUCUCUCGACCACGAAUACACAAUAAAUAAAUAUUCACUCAUUCAGUUAUCACGCGACUAUAAUUUCACAAAAAAAAAAAAAAAGAUAAUCGUACUAGCAGCAUUUGCAACCCUUAACGUUCCUGGUAAUAACCUUGGAAUAGUUAAGAAAAAGACUCUGUAACGUAGAAACCCAAACUUUGAUUUAAACAAUUAACAUAUGGAUUGUAUAUGAAUUAUAUAAAUAUAAAUUAAUAAUGCAAUAAUUUAACUGUAUGGAACUCUAUACACGCAGAUUCUCCUUUUUUCAACUAUUCUCACGUGUUGUACAAAAAUGCACUUUUACUCGCAUUGUGUUUGUAAGACACAUAAAUUCUGUCGAUUGCUUUAUUUCUUUCUUCCAAUUGUGAACCCCAACCUAACCCCAAUUUCACGUUUCACAUUUCUGAGAAAUGUAACUAUAUAUCUUUAAAAUUACAAUAAAUCGUCCUAAAUAUUCUCGAGUAUCUUUCGAUAUGAUACCUCUUACGCUUAAACUGAGUAACCCAACUCCGUUUUGAUAGUGUAAUAAGAUUUCUGGUAAUGUAAAACACAUACAUUUUUUACGCUAUCCUAUCGUAGUGUAUCUUUUCGUUGAGAUCAGCAGUGUACUCUUUUACUUUCGCUAACUUUGUGUGAACCAUGGGAGUACCAUCGUAGAUUUACAAAACAUUGGAAAGUGAACGUGAUUCGUUAUUAUUUUGUUUCACUAUAAACUAUCUCGUUGAUGUUAGACAAAUUUCAGAAAACGAUUCAGCAGUUAAAUUUGAUAUUAUAACACUGGUUAUAUUUAGAAUUGAAUUCAAUUGUGUUAGUAUUCAAAUGUGUGUUGUGUGAAUUCAAAUAUGUAGAAUUGAAUUGUGUUGAUUGUUCUUUGUUGUGUUGCUCGGUCAUUCUUGCAUUUGCGUCUCGCACGAUUGUAUAAAGAGUCGAUGUAAGAAAACUAAUUAACGUGAUUGAUUAUAUUAAUGUAAAACUGAAAGAGGUGACUCAGCCGAUGUAUGGAACGUUUCUUUUUAGGCUCCUUUUUUCUAGUGCUUUUGUUCCUCCUUAACGCGUAGCCAUAUCAAGAAUAACGUACACAUUUUCCACAUGUUAUUUGUUGCGUUAUUUUACAGUUGAUAAUAUGACGGGGGGUGAAAGAUACAUAAUCCUCCUACACAAACAUUAUAAUUAUGUAUUGUCACUCGGACAAAAGUGGUAC